rnacentral:lncRNA from 1 species
AUAAUAAGCCUAUUCCCAUAUUUUAAUAUUGGAUGGGUCUCUCUCUCUCUCUCUCUCUCUCUCUCUCUCUCUCUCUCUCUCUCUCUCUCUCUCUCUCUCUCUCUCCCUCCCUCUCUCUCUCCCUCCCUCUCUCUCUCCCUCUUUCUGUCUGUCUCUCCCUCUUUCUGUCUCUCUGUUCAUUUCCUUCUCUUUCCCUCUGUCUCUCCCCCAAUCUUUCCCUCAAUUCUCUCUCUCUUUCUCCUCCCUCUGUCUCUCCCUUUUUCUGUCUCUCUGUUCAUUUCCUUCUCUUUCCCUCUGUCUCUCCCUCAAUCUCUCCCUCAUUCUCUCUCUCUUUCUCCUCCCUCUGUCUCUCCCUCUUUCUGUCUCUCUGUUCAUUUCCUUCUCUUUCCCUCUGUCUCUCCCUCAAUCUCUCCCUCAUUCUCUCUUUCUCCUCCCUCUGUCUCUCCCUCUUUCUGUCUCUCUGUUCAUUUCCUUCUCUUUCCCUCUGUCUCUCCCUCAAUCUCUCCCUCAUUCUCUCUCUCUUUCUCCUCCCUCUGUCUCUCCCUCUUUCUGUCUCUCUGUUCAUUUUCUUCUCUUUCCCUGUCUCUCUUCCUCUCUCCCUCAUUCUCUCUCCAUCUCUUUGUCUCUUUCUCCUUCUCCCUGUUUCUCCCUCUGUCUUUCCCCCUCCCUUCCCAGUCUCUCUCUAGGCCCCUCUUUCUCUCUCAUAUACUCUAUUUCUCAAACACUCCCCCCCCCCCACACACACACCCUCCAGGUUCAUAUUGGUCCCAUGCAAACACAACAUACCCCAAGUACGUAGUCAUCCCAAACACUUGUAGUGGCAACACAACACAGCCUCUGGGCCUCUGCACACACCUGUUAUGGUCGCACACACCCUCCUGCGAACACUCACUUACAGUGGUACUUCCCCUACUGACCUCCCGGGCCUCAGAGGAACCCCCAGCUCCCGGUGCAGCUUCUGCUCCAACUCUCUCGCUUUCUCUGCCUGAGUGAGCACUUAGUGUC